GCUAACUACGUGCCAGCAGCCGCGGUAAUACGUAGAGGGCAAGCGUUGUCCGGAAUCACUGGGCGUAAAGGGUACGCAGGCGGAUAUGCAAGUCAACUGUGAAAUGUACCGGCUCAACCGGUAAGGUGCAUUUGAAACUGUAUAUCUUGAGUCUAGGAGAGGAGAGCGGAAUUCCUGGUGUAGCGGUGGAAUGCGUAGAUAUCAGGAAGAACACCAGUGGCGAAGGCGGCUCUCUGGCCUAAGACUGACGCUCAUGUACGAAAGCUGGGGGAGCGAACGGGAUUAGAUACCCUAGUAGUC
rnacentral:rRNA from 1 species